AGUAGGCGUACUGCAGCGCCAGCUGGAUGUAGACAUCAGGGCUGCAGCGACAGGACUUCAUGAAUUCCCGGCCAUACCCGCGGUACUUGAAGAAGUAAGCAAUCAUCUAUUUGGAGAUGAAUGUCCACACGGAUUAAGUCGCGGGUAAAAGCUACGGUUGGCAGAGUUAUGGUUGGUGCCGGCGCCGUGCAUCGCUCGCAGCAGGGAGUUGGUGUCCGCGUCGCAGUCAGGUC